GCUGGCCGAGCAGGCUUUGUAGUCAGCUUCUCCAACCUCGGCCAGAGUGUGAAGACCAUUGUACUGGAAGACUGACAAAAAUUGUGCUAGUAUCCUUUCUGGCUACUGCCUGUACACAUCAAAGGAUUCAUUGCCAAACAGAGUUUCGUCGACGUUGAAGGUUUUGCCGGAAGCCCAUGCGGUGUAGUCCACCCCACUUACCCAUCCUUGCAAGUCGCCCACUGUGUAGUCGGUGGCGGAGGCGGCCGGAGCAGCUGCUACAAGGAGGACCAGAAGAGCUACCACACCAGCCAUGUAUGCUUGUUCAAGAAACCUUAUCUAGUGUUCAACAGCCCAAAGCAAAGGAUUGAAGCAACGAGAGAGAAACAAUCCAUGUUCGUGUUAUAUAGGCAGUUUGGUUGCAGAAAUUAGUACUCUUUGAAAUCAGCCUGCUAAUAUGGUAAUUUACAUUGCACUACCAACUCCCUGUCUUUGGUAUACCUACUGCAUUGGGGAAUCAUGGAGCUCCCCUGCUCCUCGCACUCUUGCCUACCCAAUUCCUGGGACAAGUUUCUUGGCUCUGCUCAUCACAAGGUUAACUUACCUGCAUGUGGCUUGAUGCAUUGCUCGUUGCAAAGUGCAUCACCCGAAUCUGUUUCUCAUCUUCUGCAACUUUAGGUGAUUUAACAAGGAGCACAUCAAUUAAUUAUUAGUUUCCAGUCUGAUGAUGCAUCUUUCUAGCUGCAGGAUUUAAUAUCCUUAUCCAACUCAAAGAGAGGUAGUGAGAAUGACUCUGCAGCUGCUGCUUUGAUUUGUUCAAGCUUGAGCACCUAACCCUCGUAAAAUUUAGAAUGAGACUGCAGAGAAAAAUAUACUCAACUGAUCCUAUUUCACAAAGACAAACUUGUGCCAUGAAAAUUAACUUCAACAAACAACUGUGAGAGGCUACAGAGAUCAAAUUUUAGCGGUGGCAUGCAAUAACUGGUGGCAUGUUCAAACUUUCCAUAAACACUCCAAAAGGUCGAAUUCUUCUUCUCCCUUCUUCAAGCAUAUGUGUCUGCUGUGAUCUCCUUUAAUCCUUAAUAAAAGUUGCAGAUGAACUGCUUCACUAUUCACUAAUUGUAUCCAACAUUGUCUGAGUCAACAUGGGAUGGAAGCAGCUGGAGCAUGAGAGAUUCUUGAUGUCCUUGAGUCAACUAUAUAGUACAGCUUGCCAACACAGUCAGAUGUGCAUCAAUGAUGGAUGUGGCAUGUGGAGAAAGAACUGUGAUUCUUCUCGUCCCUCGUCUUCAACAAGUUCAGAAGAUGAAAUGUGGACUAAAGAUAAUGUUUUACUGAAAAAGAUGCAAGGAGUGGAUCCCAAACUUUACUUCUGGUUAUUGUUGUACAGUCAAAUGGAGAAGGCAGUAGCUUCUUGGUUUGAUGAGGUGAAGGUGCAGACCAGCAUCGAGGCCCACCACUUGCACUCCACAGGCUCUUUUUCUUGGUCUAAAGGAGGAAGGAAUCAUCACAGAGACCCAGGUCCGGUGGCCCCACCUUGUCCUAAUUCCAACUUCCAACACCAAAAAGCAACGCCAAGCGCUUCUCCAAAAGAAAGGAAUUAGGCUGAACGGGAGGAUCCCCAUGCCUUACAAUACUAGAAAGAAAUCGCCCUCUCUAGAUCUAAAGCUAAUCAUUCUAAUCACCACCCACAGCCCAGAUCCAACCUAGGUGUUUGAGCCUUUUUCUUUUAGACAUGUCACAUGCUCUUCCCUCUUCCUUCAUCAUCAUCAUCAUCACCACCAUCACAGAGUUGUUGGAUAGAUAGAUCGGUGAUGUGAUCAUGUAUCAGCACCAACAGUGGACAUGACCAUGUUCUUGCGGGUGUUUCGUAUCUUGAGUCGAGAGACAAUCACAGAAGCAAGGCAACAAAGAUCAGUCUCUGGUCAAAUUGACCAUCAAUUAUUGCGAACCACUGGUGGCAUAUGUUGGGAAAAAAAAGGUCCGGCACGAAUUCCCAAGCUUUGUUUGACCACUCCAAUGUAGGAUGCUAAAUGUCUUUUGAUUUAUCGAUUAGAUUUCGCGGAUGAUGUUUUAAUUUUAUUAAUAUCUCUAUUCUUUUUUUAUUUUUAUUUUUUUGUCAACCAUGCAUCGAUGUAUUGACCAUCAUAUAUAUAUGGAUUCUCCCGGUUGAUCAAGAUCCGAUCACGCCGACAGCAAGCAGCAGAUGAGGCGACGACCGUUCGAUGAUCGAUCGACGGCGAUUAGGCGCGCUCGAUUAAUGCAAUGGAACCAAACCCUUGCGUCCACGGCACCGGCCCGGGCGCCAGCGUUUUCUACCCUCGUCACGGAUACGACGA